UACGGGGGGGGCAAGCGUUGUUCGGAAUUACUGGGCGUAAAGGGCUCGUAGGUGGCCAACUAAGUCAGACGUGAAAUCCCUCGGCUUAACCGGGGAACUGCGUCUGAUACUGGAUGGCUUGAGAUUGGGAGAGGGAUGCGGAAUUCCAGGUGUAGCGGUGAAAUGCGUAGAUAUCUGGAGGAACACCGGUGGCGAAGGCGGCUUUCUGGACACUAACUGACGCUGAGACGCGAAAGCGUGGGGAGCAAACAGG
rnacentral:rRNA from 1 species